CCCUUAGAUGUUCUGGGCCGCACGCGUGCUACACUGAGUGGAUCAGCGGGUCAGGUUGCGCGAAAGCGUUUCCUAAUCUUUAAAUCCGCUCGUGAUGGGGAUUGACGGUUGCAAUUUUCUGUCAUGAACGAGGAAUACCUUGUAAGCGCGGGUCAUCAUCCCGCGCUGAAUACGUCCCUGCCCUUUGUACACACCGCCCGUCGCUCCUACCGAUUGAGUGGUCGGGUGAGGCUUUGGGAUCUGAGCGGAAAGAGCGUUUCGCUGUUUCUGCUCGGAAAACUCAGUCGAACCUUAUCAUUUAGAGGAAGGAGAAGUCGUAACA
rnacentral:rRNA from 1 species